GACGAACGCUGGCAGCGUGCUUAACACAUGCAAGUCGAACGGAAAGGCCCUGCUUUUGUGGGGUGCUCGAGUGGCGAACGGGUGAGUAACACGUGAGUAACCUGCCCUUGACUUUGGGAUAACUUCAGGAAACUGGGGCUAAUACCGGAUAGGAGCUCCUGCUGCAUGGUGGGGGUUGGAAAGUUUCGGCGGUUGGGGAUGGACUCGCGGCUUAUCAGCUUGUUGGUGGGGUAGUGGCUUACCAAGGCUUUGACGGGUAGCCGGCCUGAGAGGGUGACCGGCCACAAUGGGACUGAGAUACGGCCCAGACUCCUACGGGAGGCAGCAGUGGGGAAUAUUGCACAAUGGGCGGAAGCCUGAUGCAGCAACGCCGCGUGCGGGAUGACGGCCUUCGGGUUGUAAACCGCUUUCGCCUGUGACGAAGCGUGAGUGACGGUAAUGGGUAAAGAAGCACCGGCUAACUACGUG
rnacentral:rRNA from 1 species